AAAAGAAACCUGUGAUUAUACAACGUGGAUUCUGAACCAACAUAUGAUGAUGACACCCAAUAUUCAGUUUAAAAGAAAGAAUCAGUAUCAGGGCCUUUGG